rfam:Oryza meridionalis cultivar OR44 (W2112) chromosome 3, whole genome shotgun sequence.
AAUAAGUGCAGCCAUGAGUUUACGUGUCCAAUUUUGACCGUCUGUCUUAUUUAAAUUUUUUUAUAAUUAGUUUUUUUAAUAUUACUUUAUACGUGACUUAUGUUUUUUAGUUUUUUUUAAAAAAAUAAAUAAGACGAACAAUUAAAGUUGGACACGAAAACUCAUAACUGCGUUUAUU